UACGGGGGGAGCAAGCGUUGUUCGGAUUUACUGGGCGUAAAGGGCGCGUAGGCGGUCAGCACAAGUCAGUUGUGAAAUCUCCGGGCUUAACUCGGAAAGGUCAACUGAUACUGUGCGACUAGAGUGCAGAAGGGGCAACUGGAAUUCUCGGUGUAGCGGUGAAAUGCGUAGAUAUCUGGAGGAACACCGGUGGCGAAGGCGGCAUCCUGGACCGAAAUUGACGCUGAGGCGCGAAAGCCAGGGGAGCAAACGGG
rnacentral:rRNA from 1 species